UGGUCCAGCUCUCCGAAAGAGCAAUUAGCGCAGUAACAGGCCUCCCGAUCAGCCGAUAAUGGCCCUGUGCUGUCUGGAGAGCUCAGCCCACAGCAGCCCAUGAUUUGACAGCGCAGGACACUGAUUGAAUUAGGAGGCCAUUUGCUCCGUGUUCCGGUAGAGGAUAACUGUGCGGCAUGAGGGCGUUUGAUCUCUGCUUCAGUCAAUACGGUCUCCGUGCCGUACACUAUGAACAUAGGGAAGACCUGCUGACAGCACUCAGAUAUUUUUGGUGAACUCCUCUGGGGCAAAUCUAUGUUAAUUUCCUCCAUUUUGAUUGACUAAAAUAAAAUACUUUAAUCGGUAAACAUAGCUCGAUGGCCAUAAUCGCACAGUACAGUUUGCUUCUUGGAGGCGCAGGUGCACCGAGGAUUUAAAACUCCCAUUAGAUCACUCCCUGGGGAUUCGGAUCCUUGAGAUCAGUUAUUGCGUUUUGGCUCCUCCUCUGUCAUAAGGGCUUGAAACGCUCAAGGUAGCACACACCAACUUGGACUUCAGGGCUGGAAUCACAGGAGCCCACUUUCUGAUCAGCUCCUGCCCUGCUCCAAAACACCGAGAAUGGGCAGAGGGGAGAAUAUGGGACACCUGACUCAGCCUGGUCUCAGGCAGAAGACACAGCAGGAGCCUCUGGAUGUGGACCCCUUGUUCAUCCGCUUCCUCCGGACAUUCAAAGAAAUCCUCAAAUUUGUUCUCUUCAGUUACACCGUGCUGUUUGGCGCUUUGCUCCUUGCCAGAUGGACCACUUAUUUCAUGGUGGGAAAGUAAAAGGAAACUGACAGACUGACGAACGAGCCUGUUCUCACACUUAGAGCUUAUUAAGGAAGUUGAUCAGGCAGACAUUCUUGGGAUUUGUGGUCUAUGCAGCUCCUAUAAAUUAUUAAUGUCUCCAUACACGGCUUGAGUGUUCAUGCAGUUUUCACCCCGUUUGUUUCACACUGUGCAUUAGAGUUCACUGCUUUUUUGUGGUUUUUAAAAAAAAUUAAAAUCCAAACAGUGUGUUGCAGGCAUUUAGAGCAUUUCUUCAGUGAAAUUAAUGUUAAACUCACCAGUGUGUAGCAGUUGUUUGUUUUUAAGUGUGCAAUGUAGAAACUGAGAUCUGCUGAGCUACAAAAUGACCACAGUGAAACUAAAAAAUGCGUGUGUACAGUUGUGUAGCAUACAAAAAGCAGUAUUGUGAAUUCUUGAAUGAUAAAAGAUUUAAAACAAUU